AGAUUAAGUUAUUAAGGGCGCACGGUGGAUGCCUUGGCACUAGAAGCCGAUGAAGGACGUUACUAACGACGAUAUGCUUUGGGUAGCUGUAAGUAAGCGUUGAUCCAGAGAUUUCCGAAUGGGGGAACCCAGCAUGAGUUAUGUCAUGUUAUCGACAUGUGAAUUCAUAGCAUGUCAGAAGGCAGACCCGGAGAACUGAAACAUCUUAGUACCCGGAGGAAGAGAAAGAAAAAUCGAUUCCCUGAGUAGCGGCGAGCGAAACGGGAAGAGCCCAAACCAACAAGCUUGCUUGUUGGGGUUGUAGGACACUCUAUACGGAGUUACAAAAGAACAUGUUAGACGAAUCAUCUGGAAAGAUGAAUCAAAGAAGGUAAUAAUCCUGUAGUCGAAAACAUAUUCUCUCUUGAGUGGAUCCUGAGUACGACGGAGCACGUGAAAUUCCGUCGGAAUCUGGGAGGACCAUCUCCUAAGGCUAAAUACUCUCUAGUGACCGAUAGUGAACCAGUACCGUGAGGGAAAGGUGAAAAGUACCCCGGAAGGGGAGUGAAAGAGAACUUGAAACCGUGUGCUUACAAGUAGUCAGAGCCCGUUAAUGGGUGAUGGCGUGCCUUUUGUAGAAUGAACCGGCGAGUUACGAUCUGAUGCAAGGUUAAGCAGCAAAUGUGGAGCCGCAGCGAAAGCGAGUCUGAAUAGGGCGUUGAGUAUUUGGUCGUAGACCCGAAACCAGGUGAUCUACCCUUGGUCAGGUUGAAGUUCAGGUAACACUGAAUGGAGGACCGAACCGACUUACGUUGAAAAGUGAGCGGAUGAACUGAGGGUAGCGGAGAAAUUCCAAUCGAACUUGGAGAUAGCUGGUUCUCUCCGAAAUAGCUUUAGGGCUAGCCUCAAGUGAUGAUUAUUGGAGGUAGAGCACUGUUUGGACGAGGGCCCCUCUCGGGUUACCGAAUUCAGACAAACUCCGAAUGCCAAUUAAUUUAACUUGGGAGUCAGAACAUGGGUGAUAAGGUCCGUGUUCGAAAGGGAAACAGCCCAGACCACCAGCUAAGGUCCCAAAAUAUAUGUUAAGUGGAAAAGGAUGUGGCGUUGCCCAGACAACUAGGAUGUUGGCUUAGAAGCAGCCAUCAUUUAAAGAGUGCGUAAUAGCUCACUAGUCGAGUGACACUGCGCCGAAAAUGUACCGGGGCUAAACAUAUUACCGAAGCUGUGGAUUGUCCUUUGGACAAUGGUAGGAGAGCGUUCUAAGGGCGUCGAAGCAUGAUCGCAAGGACAUGUGGAGCGCUUAGAAGUGAGAAUGCCGGUGUGAGUAGCGAAAGACGGGUGAGAAUCCCGUCCACCGAUUGACUAAGGUUUCCAGAGGAAGGCUCGUCCGCUCUGGGUUAGUCGGGUCCUAAGCUGAGGCCGACAGGCGUAGGCGAUGGAUAACAGGUUGAUAUUCCUGUACCACCUAGUAUCGUUUUAAUCGAUGGGGGGACGCAGUAGGAUAGGCGAAGCGUGCUGUUGGAGUGCACGUCCAAGCAGUAAGGCUGAGUGUUAGGCAAAUCCGGCACUCAUAAGGCUGAGCUGUGAUGGGGAGAGGAAAUUGUUUCCUCGAGUCGUUGAUUUCACACUGCCGAGAAAAGCCUCUAGAUAGAUAACAGGUGCCCGUACCGCAAACCGACACAGGUAGUCAAGAUGAGAAUUCUAAGGUGAGCGAGCGAACUCUCGUUAAGGAACUCGGCAAAAUGACCCCGUAACUUCGGGAGAAGGGGUGCUCUUUAGGGUUCACGCCCAGAAGAGCCGCAGUGAAUAGGCCCAAGCGACUGUUUAUCAAAAACACAGGUCUCUGCUAAACCGUAAGGUGAUGUAUAGGGGCUGACGCCUGCCCGGUGCUGGAAGGUUAAGAGGAGUGGUUAGCUUCUGCGAAGCUACGAAUCGAAGCCCCAGUAAACGGCGGCCGUAACUAUAACGGUCCUAAGGUAGCGAAAUUCCUUGUCGGGUAAGUUCCGACCCGCACGAAAGGCGUAACGAUUUGGGCACUGUCUCAACGAGAGACUCGGUGAAAUCAUAGUACCUGUGAAGAUGCAGGUUACCCGCGACAGGACGGAAAGACCCCGUGGAGCUUUACUGUAGCCUGAUAUUGAAAUUCGGCACAGCUUGUACAGGAUAGGUAGGAGCCUUUGAAACGUGAGCGCUAGCUUACGUGGAGGCGUUGGUGGGAUACUACCCUAGCUGUGUUGGCUUUCUAACCCGCACCACUUAUCGUGGUGGGAGACAGUGUCAGGCGGGCAGUUUGACUGGGGCGGUCGCCUCCUAAAAGGUAACGGAGGCGCUCAAAGGUUCCCUCAGAAUGGUUGGAAAUCAUUCAUAGAGUGUAAAGGCAUAAGGGAGCUUGACUGCGAGACCUACAAGUCGAGCAGGGUCGAAAGACGGACUUAGUGAUCCGGUGGUUCCGCAUGGAAGGGCCAUCGCUCAACGGAUAAAAGCUACCCCGGGGAUAACAGGCUUAUCUCCCCCAAGAGUUCACAUCGACGGGGAGGUUUGGCACCUCGAUGUCGGCUCAUCGCAUCCUGGGGCUGUAGUCGGUCCCAAGGGUUGGGCUGUUCGCCCAUUAAAGCGGUACGCGAGCUGGGUUCAGAACGUCGUGAGACAGUUCGGUCCCUAUCCGUCGUGGGCGUAGGAAAUUUGAGAGGAGCUGUCCUUAGUACGAGAGGACCGGGAUGGACAUACCUCUGGUGUACCAGUUGUCGUGCCAACGGCAUAGCUGGGUAGCUAUGUAUGGACGGGAUAAGUGCUGAAAGCAUCUAAGCAUGAAGCCCCCUCAAGAUGAGAUUUCCCAACUUCGGUUAUAAGAUCCCUCGAAGAUGACGAGGUUAAUAGGUUCGAGGUGGAAGCGUGGUGACACGUGGAGCUGACGAAUACUAAUCGAUCGAAGACUUAAUCAAUUUUUAAA
rnacentral:rRNA from 1 species